rnacentral:rRNA from 1 species
GACAGAGGGUGCAAACGUUGCUCGGAAUUACUGGGCGUAAAGCGCGUGUAGGUGGAUUGGUGUGUCAGAUGUGAAAGCCCUGGGCUCAACCCAGGAACUGCACCUGAAACUACCAGUCUUGAGUGGUGGAGAGGGAAGUGGAAUUCCUGGUGUAGGGGUGAAAUUCGUAGAUAUCAGGAGGAACACCAGUGGCGAAGGCGGCUUCCUGGACACCAACUGACGCUGAGACGCGAAAGCGUGGGGAGCAAACAGG